rnacentral:rRNA from 1 species
GACCUACGGGGGGCAGCAGUGGGGAAUAUUGGGCAAUGGGCGCAAGCCUGACCCGGCAAUGCCGCGUGAAGGAAGAAGGCUUUCGGGUUGUAAACUUCUUUGACAGGGGAAGAGCAGAAGACGGUACCCUGAAAACAAGCCACGGCUAACUACGUGCCAGCAGCCGCGGUAAUACGUAGGGGGCAAGCGUUAUCCGGAUUUACUGGGUGUAAAGGGAGCGUAGACGGCUGCGCAAGUCAGAAGUGAAAGCCCGGGGCUCAACCGCGGGGCUGCUUUUGAAACUGUGUAGCUAGAGUGCAGGAGAG